rnacentral:rRNA from 1 species
CACGGGGUUGCGAGCGUUGUCCGGAAUUACUAGGCAUAAAGGGCAGGCAGGCGGAUCCAUAAGUUUAUCGUUUAAGGCGUCGGCUUAACCGGCGUAGGGCGGUAGAUACUGUGGAUCUGGAAUGCGGUUGGGGAAGACAGAAUUCCUGGUGUAGCGGUGGAAUGCGCAGAGAUCAGGAGGAAUACCGAAGGCGAAGGCAGUCUUCCAAGCCGUUAUUGACGCUCAACUGCGAAGGUGUGGGUAUCAAACAGGAUUAGAUACCCUGGUAGUCCCU